rnacentral:rRNA from 1 species
AAGUGCCCUUCGGGAGCCGCAGACAGGUGCUGCAUGGCUGUCGUCAGCUCGUGUCGUGAGAUGUUGGGUUAAGUCCCGCAACGAGCGCAACCCUUAUCGUUAGUUGCCAUCUGGUAAUGCAGGGGACUCUAGCGAAACUGCCACGUAAGGUGAGAGGAAGGUGGGGAUGACGUCAAAUCAGCACGGCCCUUAUGUCCAGGGCUACACACGUGUUACAAUGGUCGGUACAGAGGGCAGCUACCUGGUGACAGGAUGCUAAUCUCGAAAACCGGUCUCAGUUCGGAUCGAAGUCUGCAACUCGACUUCGUGAAGCUGGAUUCGCUAGUAAUCGCGCAUCAGCUAUGGCCGCGGUCGAACACGUUCCCGGGCCUU